rnacentral:hammerhead_ribozyme from 1 species
AUCUAGCUGACGAGUCCCAAAUAGAACGAAAUGCGCAUCCUCGAU